rnacentral:ncRNA from 1 species
AAGUCAAUUUCAAAGGGUACACGGCCUGGCACAUGGUCAUGUGGCUUGGCCAUGUGUGGAGAAGGAUAGGACAUUCAAAUUUGAUGAGGAGUGCUUAAGAGCUUUCAAAUAUUUGAAGAGUCGGUUAGUUUUGGCACCCAUAAUCGUCACACCAGACUAGGAUUUGCCAUUUGAAUUGAUGUGUGGCGCAAGUGACUUCGUGAUAGGAGCUGUCGAAUCAGCAAGGAGACCACCUUGCAAGGCUAAAUACUCCUGGGUGACCGAUAGCAAAGUAGUACCGUGAGGGAAGGGUGAAAAGAACCCCCGUCGGGGAGUGAAAUAGAACAUGAAAC